GAAAGUUACUGUUGUUUUUAAGCGUUUAUUAGCAAGUGGGAACGACCAACAUGGCCGCCAUCUAUUCAAAUGGGGGUAACCGCUGGAAUAUUCUUGGCUUCAAUUUUACUAAAAGAGAUGCGCUAUCUAGUGUAUAUAAGAUAUCUAUGCCUUGAGCUCAUGCACGAUUCGAAUUCGCAGAAUAGUGGUUAUAGAUGUGCGAUUACCGCCGCUGUUUUGUUGUUAAAAAUUGAAAGGAUUGCAUAAGCCCAAUUCUCGCAGACUCCUCACUAGUUGGUAAAAUAUUUGCACGAGUACAUUAAUGCAAUUUCCUUGUUCGCAGGCAUCCAAAGAGUUGUCACCGUUCCCAC